UUUCCGGUUGAUCCUGCCGGAGGCCAUUGCUAUCGGAGUCCGAUUUAGCCAUGCUAGUCGUGCGAGUUCAGACUCGCGGCACCGAGCUCAGUAACACGUGGCCAAACUACCCUACAGAGACGGAUACCCUCGGGAAACUGAGGUUAACCCGUCAUACCGAUCUCAGGCUUGAAUCGCAGAGAUCACAAAACGCCCCGGCGCUGUAGGAUGUGGCUGCGGUUGAUUAGGUAGACGGUGGGGUAACGGCCCACCGUGCCCAUAAUCAGUACAGGUUGUGAGAGCAAGAACCUGGAGACGGAAUCUGAGACAAGAUUCCGGGCCCUACGGGGCGCAGCAGGCGCGAAACCUUUACACUGCACGCACGUGCGAUAAGGGGACUCCGAGUGCGAGGGCAUAUCGUCCUCGCUUUCGUGUACCGUAGGGUGGUACACCAACAAGGGCUGGGCAAGACCGGUGCCAGCCGCCGCGGUAAUACCGGCAGCCCGAGUGAUGGCCGAUCUUAUUGGGCCUAAAGCGUCCGUAGCUGGCUGCGCAAGUCCGUCGGGAAAUCCACUCGCCCAACGAGUGGGCGUCCGACGGAAACUGCACAGCUUGGGACCGGAAGGCUCAGAGGGUACGUCCGGGGUAGGAGUGAAAUCCCGUAAUCCCGGACGGACCACCGAUGGCGAAAGCACUUCGAGAAAACGGAUCCGACAGUGAGGGACGAAAGCCAGGGUCUCCAACCGGAUUAGAUACCCGGGUAGUCCUGGCCGUAAACAAUGUUCGCUAGGUAUGACACAGACUACGUGUCUCUGUUGUGCCGUAGGGAAGCCGAGAAGCGAACCGCCUGGGAAGUACGUCUGCAAGGAUGAAACUUAAAGGAAUUGGCGGGGGAGCACUACAACCGGAGGAGCCUGCGGUUUAAUUGGAUUCUCGCCGGAA
rnacentral:rRNA from 1 species